rnacentral:tRNA from 1 species
GGUUCCAUGGUGUAGUGGUUAGCACUCUGGACUUUGAAUCCAGCGGCCUUGGUUCGACUCCCGGUGGGAUCU